AUUGAACGCUGGCGGCAUGCUUUACACAUGCAAGUCGAACGAUAACAGGCGUUCGGGGGCUGACUAGUGGUGAACGGGGGAGUAAUGCAUCGGAACGUACCCACAGGUGGGGGGUAACGCAGCGAAAGCUGUGCUAAUAGCUCAUGUGGGCUGAGGAUGAGAGCGGGAGACCGAACAGCAAUAUUUGGCUUCGGGCCUUUCGUGCGGCCGAUGUCGGAUUAGCUAGUUGGUGAGGUAAAGGCCUACCAAGGCGACGAUCCGUAGCUGGUCUGAGAGGACGACCAGCCACACUGGAACUGAGACACGGCCCAGACUCCUACGGGAGGCAGCAGUGGGGAAUAUUGGGCAAUGGGCGAAAGCCUGAUCGAGCAAUGCCGCGUGAGUGAAGAAGGUCUUCGGGUUGUAAACCUCUUUUGGCAGGAACGAAACAGUGUCCGAUAAAAUCGGGCGGUAUUGACGGUACCUACAGAGAAAGCAACGGCUAACUACGUG
rnacentral:rRNA from 1 species